rnacentral:rRNA from 1 species
AUUGAACGCUGGCGGCAUGCUUUACACAUGCAAGUCGAACGGCAGCACAGGGAGCUUGCUCCUGGGUGGCGAGUGGCGAACGGGUGAGUAAUGUAUCGGAACGUGCCUGGUAGUGGGGGAUAACUACUCGAAAGAGUGGCUAAUACCGCAUGAGAUCUAUGGAUGAAAGCGGGGGACCUUCGGGCCUCGUGCUCCUGGAGCGGUCGAUAUCAGAUUAGGUUGUUGGUGGGGUAAAGGCCUACCAAGCCUGCGAUCUGUAGCUGGUCUGAGAGGACGACCAGCCACACUGGAACUGAGACACGGCCCAGACUCCUACGGGAGGCAGCAGUGGGGAAUUUUGGACAAUGGGCGCAAGCCUGAUCCAGCAAUGCCGCGUGCAGGACGAAGGCCUUCGGGUUGUAAACUGCUUUUGUACAGAACGAAAAGUCUCUGGCUAAUAUCUAGAGAUCAUGACGGUACUGUAAGAAUAAGCACCGGCUAACUACGUG